UACGUAGGGGGCAAGCGUUGUCCGGAAUUAUUGGGCGUAAAGCGCGCGCAGGCGGUCAUUUAAGUCUGGUGUUUAAUCCCGGGGCUCAACCCCGGAUCGCACUGGAAACUGGGUGACUUGAGUGCAGAAGAGGAGAGUGGAAUUCCACGUGUAGCGGUGAAAUGCGUAGAUAUCGGGAGGAACAUCAGUGGCGAAGGCGACCACCUGGCCCAACACUGACGCUGAGGUGCGAAAGCGUGGGUAGCAAACAGG
rnacentral:rRNA from 1 species